rnacentral:rRNA from 1 species
GCACAAGCGGUGGAUGAUGUGGUUUAAUUCGAUGCAACGCGAAAACCUUACCCACCUUUGACAUGGCAGGAAUCCCGAAGAGAUUUGGGAGUGCUCGAAAGAGAACCUGCACACAGGUGCUGCAUGGCUGUCGUCAGCUCGUGUCGUGAGAUGUUGGGUUAAGUCCCGCAACGAGCGCAACCCUUGCCAUUAGUUGCUACGAAAGGGCACUCUAAUGGGACUGCCGGUGACAAACCGGAGGAAGGUGGGGAUGACGUCAAGUCCUCAUGGCCCUUAUAGGUGGGGCUACACACGUCAUACAAUGGCCGGUACAGAGGGUAGCCAACCCGCGAGGGGGAGCCAAUCCCACAAAGCCGGUCGUAGUCCGGAUCGCAGUCUGCAACUCGACUGCGUGAAGUCGGAAUCGCUAGUAAUCGUGGAUCAGCAUGUCACGGUGAAUACGUUCCCGGGCCUU